rnacentral:rRNA from 1 species
UUGAACGCUGGCGGAAUGCUUUACACCUGCAAGUCGAGCGGCAGCACGGGGGCAACCCUGGUGGCGAGCGGCGAACGGGUGAGUAAUACAUCGGAACAUGCCCAGUCGUGGGGGAUAACACUUCGAAAGAAGUGCUAAUACCGCAUACGUCCUGAGGGGGAAAGCGGGGGAUCGCAAGACCUCGCGCGAUUGGAGUGGCCGAUGUCAGAUUAGCUAGUUGGUGGGGUAAAGGCCUACCAAGGCAACGAUCUGUAGCUGGUCUGAGAGGAUGAUCAGCCACACUGGGACUGAGACACGGCCCAGACUCCUACGGGAGGCAGCAGUGGGGAAUUUUGGACAAUGGGGGCAACCCUGAUCCAGCCAUUCCGCGUGAGUGAAGAAGGCCUUCGGGUUGUAAAGCUCUUUCGGCAGGAACGAAACGGUGAGCUCUAACAUAGCUUGCUAAUGACGGUACCUGAAGAAGAAGCACCGGCUAACUACGUG